AGAAUCAACGCUGGCGGCGUGCCUAACACAUGCAAGUCGAACGAGAAAGUGGAGCAAUCCAUGAGUAAAGUGGCGCACGGGUGAGUAACACGCGACUAACCUACCCUCGAGUGGGGAAUAACCUCGGGAAACCGGGGCUAACACCGCAUAACAUCUACGGAUCAAAUGCGUAAGCAGCUUGAGGAGGGGGUCGCGGCUGAUUAGCUAGUUGGCGGGAUAAUGGCCCACCAAGGCAGUGAUCAGUA
rnacentral:rRNA from 1 species